rnacentral:tRNA from 1 species
GGGCUUCACUGGGAAUCGAACCCAGGGCCUCUUGCAUCUUAGACGUUUAACGCCGCCCAAAGCAAGAAUCAUACCUCUAGACCUUGAAACU